GACAGAGGGUGCAAACGUUGUUCGGAAUUACUGGGCGUAAAGGGUGCGUAGGUGGCAGGGUAAGUCGGAUGUGAAAGCUCGGAGCUCAACUCCGAAAUGGCAUUGGAAACUACCCAGCUCGAGGGUUGGAGGGGGGACUGGAAUGCUUGGUGUAGCAGUGAAAUGCGUAGAUAUCAAGCGGAACACCAGUGGCGAAGGCGAGUCCCUGGACAACUCCUGACACUGAGGCACGAAAGCUAGGGGAGCAAACAGG
rnacentral:rRNA from 1 species